UACGUAGGGACCAAGCGUUGUUCGGAUUUACUGGGCGUAAAGGGCGCGUAGGCGGCGUGGUAAGUCACUUGUGAAAUCUCUGAGCUUAACUCAGAACGGUCAAGUGAUACUGCUGUGCUAGAGUGCGGCAGGGGAGACUGGAAUUCCUGGUGUAGCGGUGGAAUGCGCAGAUAUCAGGAGGAACACCGGUGGCGAAGGCGGGUCUCUGGGCCGUUACUGACGCUGAGGAGCGAAAGCGUGGGGAGCGAACAGG
rnacentral:rRNA from 1 species